ACUCAAAGGAAUUGACGGGGACCCGCACAAGCGGUGGAGCGUGUUGUUUAAUUCGACGGUAAACGAAGAACCUUACCCAGGUUUGACAUCCUUAGAAUUUCUCCGAAAGGAGAAAGUGCUUUUAGAACUAAGUGACAGGUGAUGCAUGGCCGUCUUCAGCUCGUGUCGUGAGAUGUUAGGUUAAGUCCUUCAACGAGCGCAACCCUUUUGUUCAGUUGGAUUUCUCUGAACAGACUGCCCUGGUAACAGGGAGGAAGGAGGGGAUGAUGUCAGGUCCGUAUUUCCCUUACAUCUGGGGCUACAAACACGCUACAAUGGCCGGUACAAAGGGCAGCCAACCCGCGAGGGGGAGCAAAUCCCAUCAAAGCCGGUCUCAGUUCGGAUUGGAGGCUGAAACUCGCCUCCAUGAAGCCGGAAUCGCUAGUAAUGGUAGGUCAGCUAUACUACCGUGAAUACGUUCCCGGGUCUUGUACACACCGCCCGU
rnacentral:rRNA from 1 species